UUUUAUAUAGUAUAUCAAUAAAAUACAUUCAAUUUCGACUUGAAAAAUAAUAAUUAUUUUAUUUAUAAAUU
rnacentral:tRNA from 1 species